rnacentral:rRNA from 1 species
UACGGGGGGGGGCAAGCGUUGUUCGGAAUUACGUGGCGUAAAGGGCUCGUAGGCGGCCAACUAAGUCGGAUGUGAAAUCCCCAGGCUUAACCUGGGAACUGCAUCCGAUACUGGAUGGCUUGAAUUCGGGAGAGGGAUGCAGAAUUCCAGGUGUAGCGGUGAAAUGCGUAGAUAUCUGGAGGAAUACCGGUGGCGAAGGCGGCAUCCUGGACCGAGAUUGACGCUGAUGAGCGAAAGCUAGGGGAGCAAACGGG